rnacentral:misc_RNA from 1 species
CCGAGUUGACAAACUCCCUAAACCCAUGUGAACAGUACCACUUAACGUUGCCUCGGGGCGGCCAGGUCUCCCGGGCGCCCCUGGUAACAUCGGGACGGCCCGCCAGGAGGUACUCCUAAACUCUUGAUUCUAUAUGGACUCUCUGAGUACUCUACUGAAUAAGUCA